UACGGAGGGUGCAAGCGUUGUCCGGAUUCAUUGGGUUUAAAGGGUGCGCAGGCGGGACAUUAAGUCAGGGGUGAAAGACGGUGCUCAACAAUCGCAGUGCCCUUGAUACUGGUGUUCUUGGGUGACCUUGAGGUAGGCGGAAUGGGUGGUGUAGCGGUGAAAUGCGUAGAUAUCGUAAGGAAGACCAGUGGCGAAGGCGGGUCUCUGGGACGGUACUGACGCUGAGACGCGAAAGCGUGGGGAGCGAACAGG
rnacentral:rRNA from 1 species